CGAGGCGGUCGGAUGGCCGCGCGCCACGUCGGGGUUAACGCCCCGUGAACGGCGCGAGGAAAGUCCGAGCUCCGCAACGCAGGGUAGCGGGUAACUCCCGUCCGCCGCGAGGCGAGGACCAGUGCCACAGUGACGAUGCCGGCCGGUGGCGCAAGCCGCCGGCGGGAGUGAAACGAGGCAAACUCUACCCGGAGCAAGGCCAAGUAGGAGGGCGCAACCCGGUUCGCCGGGGGAGAGGCGCGUUGCCCAGCCCUCGGGUCCGCCGCAUGAGCCGUCGGGCAACCGGCGGCCAGAGAUGGAUGGCCAUCGCCCGGGCUCUCGGGCCCGGGUACAGAACUCGGCUUACAGACCGCCUCGCUGA
rnacentral:RNase_P_RNA from 1 species